rnacentral:rRNA from 1 species
GACGAACGCUGGCGGCGUGCUUAACACAUGCAAGUCGAACGGAAAGGCCCUGCUUUCAGGGUACUCGCAUGGCGAACGGGUGAGUAACACGUGGGUGUUCUGCCCUCCACUUCUGGAUAUGCCUGGGAAACUGGGUCUAAUACCCCAUAUGGGCCAUCUUUCGUGUUAUGGUUGGUUAGUUUUUUGGGUGUAGGAUGGGCUCACGGCCUAUCAGCUUGGUUGUGGGGGAAUGGCCUACCAACGCGGCGACGGGGAGCCGGCCUGGGAGGGUGGACGGCCACAAUGGGACUGGGGUACGGGCCAGACUCCUACGGGGGGGAGCAGUUGGGAAUAUUGCACAAUGGGCGCGAGCCUGAUGCAGCGACGCCGGGUGGGGGAUGACGGCCUUCGGGUUGGAAACUCCUUUCGCUAGGGACGAAGCUGUUAGUGACGGUACCUAGAUAAGAAGCACCGGCUAACUACGUG